rnacentral:rRNA from 1 species
UACGUAGGUGGCAAGCGUUGUCCGGAUUUAUUGGGCGUAAAGAGCGUGUAGGCGGCUUUACAGGUCCGUUGUGAAAACUCGAGGCUCAACCUCGAGACGCCGGUGGAAACCGUAAGGCUAGAGUCCGGAAGAGGAGAGUGGAAUUCCUGGUGUAGCGGUGAAAUGCGCAGAUAUCAGGAAGAACACCCGUGGCUAAGGCGGCUCUCUAGUACGGUACUGACGCUGAGACGCGAAAGCGUGGGGAGCGAACAGG